GCUACGGGAGGCAGCAGUGAGGAAUAUUGGUCAAUGGACGAGAGUCUGAACCAGCCAAGUAGCGUGAAGGAUGACUGCCCUAUGGGUUGUAAACUUCUUUUAUAAAGGAAUAAAACGAGGCACGUGUGCCUUUUUGCAUGUACUUUAUGAAUAAGGAUCGGCUAACUCCGUGCCAGCAGCCGCGGUAAUACGGAGGAUCCGAGCGUUAUCCGGAUUUAUUGGGUUUAAAGGGAGCGUAGAUGGGUUGUUAAGUCAGUUGUGAAAGUUUGCGGCUCAACCGUCAAAUUGCAAUUGAUACUGACAGUCUUGAGUACAGUUGAGGUAGGCGGAAUUCGUGGUGUAGCGGUGAAAUGCUUAGAUAUCACGAAGAACCCCGAUUGCGAAGGCAGCUUACUAAACUGUGACUGACAUUGAUGCUCGAAAGUGUGGGUAUCAAACAGGAUUAGAUACCCUUGUAGUC
rnacentral:rRNA from 1 species